CAUGAAGGCAAUUAAGCGGUAAUACUAACUAAUUAAUGAAAUCUGCCUGAGGCUUUUUAACUUAAUAUUGGCACACAAAAUUACUCGAUAUACUGAUUACCACCAAUAUGAAACUAAACAAUCGUCUUCCUAUUGCUUGUAAGUGUAACAUCUAACGUAUUGUUUUUAUAAAACUAUUUAGACGUAGUGCUCUAAAACAAACACGAUAAUACAUUAUUAAGUAACGUAUA